rnacentral:rRNA from 1 species
UACGAAGGGGGCUAGCGUUGUUCGGAAUUACUGGGCGUAAAGGGCUCGUAGGCGGCCAACUAAGUCAGACGUGAAAUCCCUCGGCUUAACCGGGGAACUGCAUCUGAUACUGGAUGGCUUGAGUUCGGGAGAGGGAUGCGGAAUUCCAGGUGUAGCGGUGAAAUGCGUAGAUAUCUGGAGGAACACCGGUGGCGAAGGCGGCAUCCUGGACCGGCACUGACGCUGAGGAGCGAAAGCCAGGGGAGCAAACGGG